rnacentral:rRNA from 1 species
GACGAACGCUGGCGGCGUGCCUAAUACAUGCAAGUAGAACGCUGAAGAGAGGAGCUUGCUCUUCUUGGAUGAGUUGCGAACGGGUGAGUAACGCGUAGGUAACCUGCCUUGUAGCGGGGGAUAACUAUUGGAAACGAUAGCUAAUACCGCAUAACAAUGGAUGACACAUGUCAUUUAUUUGAAAGGGGCAAUUGCUCCACUACAAGAUGGACCUGCGUUGUAUUAGCUAGUAGGUGAGGUAAUGGCUCACCUAGGCGACGAUACAUAGCCGACCUGAGAGGGUGAUCGGCCACACUGGGACUGAGACACGGCCCAGACUCCUACGGGAGGCAGCAGUAGGGAAUCUUCGGCAAUGGGGGCAACCCUGACCGAGCAACGCCGCGUGAGUGAAGAAGGUUUUCGGAUCGUAAAGCUCUGUUGUAAGUCAAGAACGGGUGUGAGAGUGGAAAGUUCACACUGUGACGGUAGCUUACCAGAAAGGGACGGCUAACUACGUGCCAGCAGCCGCGGUAAUACGUAGGUCCCGAGCGUUGUCCGGAUUUAUUGGGCGUAAAGCGAGCGCAGGCGGUUUGAUAAGUCUGAAGUUAAAGGCUGUGGCUCAACCAUAGUUCGCUUUGGAAACUGUCAAACUUGAGUGCAGAAGGGGAGAGUGGAAUUCCAUGUGUAGCGGUGAAAUGCGUAGAUAUAUGGAGGAACACCGGUGGCGAAAGCGGCUCUCUGGUCUGUAACUGACGCUGAGGCUCGAAAGCGUGGGGAGCGAACAGGAUUAGAUACCCUGGUAGUCCACGCCGUAAACGAUGAGUGCUAGGUGUUGGAUCCUUUCCGGGAUUCAGUGCCGCAGCUAACGCAUUAAGCACUCCGCCUGGGGAGUACGACCGCAAGGUUGAAACUCAAAGGAAUUGACGGGGGCCCGCACAAGCGGUGGAGCAUGUGGUUUAAUUCGAAGCAACGCGAAGAACCUUACCAGGUCUUGACAUCCCGAUGCUAUUUCUAGAGAUAGAAAGUUACUUCGGUACAUCGGUGACAGGUGGUGCAUGGUUGUCGUCAGCUCGUGUCGUGAGAUGUUGGGUUAAGUCCCGCAACGAGCGCAACCCCUAUUGUUAGUUGCCAUCAUUCAGUUGGGCACUCUAGCGAGACUGCCGGUAAUAAACCGGAGGAAGGUGGGGAUGACGUCAAAUCAUCAUGCCCCUUAUGACCUGGGCUACACACGUGCUACAAUGGUUGGUACAACGAGUUGCGAGUCGGUGACGGCGAGCUAAUCUCUUAAAGCCAAUCUCAGUUCGGAUUGUAGGCUGCAACUCGCCUACAUGAAGUCGGAAUCGCUAGUAAUCGCGGAUCAGCACGCCGCGGUGAAUACGUUCCCGGGCCUUGUACACACCGCCCGUCACACCACGAGAGUUUGUAACACCCGAAGUCGGUGAGGUAACCUUUUGGAGCCAGCCGCCUAAG